CAGUGGGGAAUAUUGGACAAUGGGCGAAAGCUUGAUCCAGCAAUAUCGCGUGAGUGAUGAAGCCUAUUUUUGGUGUAAAGCUCUUUUAGUAAGGAAGAUAAUGACUGUACUUACAUAAAAAGUUCCGGCUAACUCUGUGCCAGCAGCCGCGGUAAUACAGGGGGAACUAGUAUUAUUCGGAAUGAUUGGGCGUAAAGGGCAUGUAGGCUGUUAAUAACGUUGAAAGUAAAAGACCAUAAUUAUUAUUUUGGAAUAACUUUCAAAACGAAUUAACUUGAGUUCGAUAGAGGAUAGUGGUAUUUCUAGUGUAAAGAUAAAAUUUGCAAAUAUUAGAAGGAACACCUUUUGGCGAAAGCAGCUAUCUGGCUCGUUUACUGACGCUGAUAUGCUAAAGCAUGGGUAUCAAACGGGAUUAGA
rnacentral:rRNA from 1 species